AACGCUAGCUACAGGCUUAACACAUGCAAGUCGAGGGGCAGCAUGAACUUAGCUUGCUAAGUUUGAUGGCGACCGGCGCACGGGUGAGUAACGCGUAUCCAACCUUCCGUACACUCAGGAAUAGCCUUUCGAAAGAAAGAUUAAUACCUGAUGGUAUGAUGAGAUUGCAUGAAAUCAUCAUUAAAGAUUCAUCGGUGUACGAUGGGGAUGCGUUCCAUUAGAUAGUAGGCGGGGUAACGGCCCACCUAGUCGACGAUGGAUAGGGGUUCUGAGAGGAAGGUCCCCCACAUUGGAACUGAGACACGGUCCAAACUCCUACGGGAGGCAGCAGUGAGGAAUAUUGGUCAAUGGGCGCGAGCCUGAACCAGCCAAGUAGCGUGAAGGAUGAAGGUCCUAUGGAUUGUAAACUUCUUUUAUAAGGGAAUAAAGUCACCCACGUGUGGGUGUUUGUAUGUACCUUAUGAAUAAGCAUCGGCUAACUCCGUGCCAGCAGCCGCGGUAAUACGGAGGAUGCGAGCGUUAUCCGGAUUUAUUGGGUUUAAAGGGAGCGUAGACGGGUCGUUAAGUCGGCUGUGAAAGUUUACGGCUCAACCGUGAAAUUGCAGUUGAUACUGUAUGUCUUGAGUGUACAAGAGGUGGGCGGAAUUCGUGGUGUAGCGGUGAAAUGCUUAGAUAUCACGAAGAACUCCGAUUG
rnacentral:rRNA from 1 species